AUUGAACGCUGGCGGCAGGCUUAACACAUGCAAGUCGAACGAGUGGCGGACGGGUGAGUAAUGCUUGGGAAUCUAGCUUAUGGAGGGGGAUAACUACGGGAAACUGUAGCUAAUACCGCGUACCAUAGGAUGAGCCCAAGUGGGAUUAGCUUGUAGGUGAGGUAAAGGCUCACCUAGGCGACGAACCAUAGCUGGUCUGAGAGGAGUAUACGCCACACUGUGACUGAGACACAGCCCAGACUCCUACGUGAGGCAGCAUUGGGGAAUAUUGCGCAAAGGGCGCAAGCCUGGUGCAACCAUGCCGCGUGUAUGAAGAAGGCCUUCGGGUUGGAAAGUACUUUCAGGCGGGAGGCGUUACCGACAGAAGAAGCACCGGCUAACUCCGUGCCAGCCGCCGCGGUAAUUC
rnacentral:rRNA from 1 species